CGCUGGCGGCGUGCCUAAUACAUGCAAGUCGAACGGUCUUUCUAUGGAAGCUUGCUUCCACUGAGAAGAUAGUGGCGAACGGGUGAGUAACACGUGGGUAACCUGCCCAUAAGAGGGGGAUAACAUCCGGAAACGGGUGCUAAUACCGCAUAGUUUUCUUGAUCGCAUGAUUGAGAAAGGAAAGACGGCCUUUGUGCUGUCGCUUAUGGAUGGACCCGCGGCGUAUUAGUUAGUUGGUGAGGUAACGGCUCACCAAGACGAUGAUACGUAGCCGACCUGAGAGGGUGAUCGGCCACAUUGGGACUGAGACACGGCCCAAACUCCUACGGGAGGCAGCAGUAGGGAAUCUUCCGCAAUGGACGGAAGUCUGACGGAGCAACGCCGCGUGAGUGAAGAAAGGUUUUCGGAUCGUAAAACUCUGUUGUCAGAGAAGAACAAGUUGGAGAGUAACUGCUCCAGCCUUGACGGUAUCUGACCAGAAAGCCACGGCUAACUACGUGCCAGCCGCCGC
rnacentral:rRNA from 1 species